rnacentral:rRNA from 1 species
CCUACGGGUGGCAGCAGUGAGGAAUAUUGGUCAAUGGACGAGAGUCUGAACCAGCCAAGUAGCGUGAAGGAUGACUGCCCUAUGGGUUGUAAACUUCUUUUAUAUGGGAAUAAAAUGUUCCACGUGUGGGAUUUUGUAUGUACCAUAUGAAUAAGGAUCGGCUAACUCCGUGCCAGCAGCCGCGGUAAUACGGAGGAACCGAGCGUUAUCCGGGUUUAUUGGGUUUAAAGGGAGCGUAGGUGGAUUGUUAAGUCAGUUGUGAAAGUUUGCGGCUCAACCGUAAAAUUGCAGUUGAAACUGGCAGUCUUGAGUACAGUAGAGGUGGGCGGAAUUCGUGGUGUAGCGGUGAAAUGCUUAGAUAUCACGAAGAACUCCGAUUGCGAAGGCAGUUCACUGGACUGCAACUGACACUGAGGCUCGAAAGUGUGGGUAUCAAACAGGAUUAGAUACCCCAGUAGUC